rfam:Mus musculus chromosome 11, GRC primary reference assembly.
GGAGAGAUAGUUCAGGGGUUAAGAGCACUGGUUGCUCUUGCAGAGGACCUGGGUUCAAUUCCCAGUUUCACAA